rnacentral:rRNA from 1 species
AGAAUCAACGCUGGCGGCGUGCCUAACACAUGCAAGUCGAACGAGAAAGUGGAGCAAUCCAUGAGUAAAGUGGCGACCGGGUGAGUAACACGUGACUAACCUACCUUCGAGUGGGGGAUAACCUCGGGAAACCGAGGCUAAUACCGCAUAACAUCGCAAGAUCAAAGCAGCAAUGCGCUGGAAGAGGGGGUCGCGGCUGAUUAGCUAGUUGGUGGGUAAUGGCCUACCAAGGCAACGAUCAGUA